rnacentral:rRNA from 1 species
GAUGAACGCUGGCGGCGUGCCUAAUACAUGCAAGUCGAGCGAACAGAUGAGGAGCUUGCUCCUCUGACGUUAGCGGCGGACGGGUGAGUAACACGUGGAUAACCUACCUAUAUGACUGGGAUAACUUCGGGACACCGGAGCUAAUACCGGAUAAUAUAUUGAACCGCAUGGUUCAUUAGUGAAAGACGGUUUUGCUGUCACUAAUAGAGGGAUACGCGCCGCAUUAGAUAGUUGGGAAGGUAACCGCCUACCAAGGCAACGAUGCGUGGCCGAGCUGAGAGAGGGAUCGGCGGCACUGGAGCGUAGACACGGUCCAGGGGCCUACGAGAGGGAGCAGUAGGGAAUGGUACGCAGUAGGCGAGAGCCUGACGGAGCAGCGCCGCGUGAGUGAUGAAGGUCUUCGGAUCGUAAAAAUCUGUUACUAGGGAAGAACAAAUGUGUACGGAGCUAUGCACGUCUUGACGGUACCUGAUCAGAAAGCAACGGCUAACUACGUG